GAGAGGAGGAAGCAGGCUCCCCGCCGAACAGAGAGCCCGAUGUGGGGCUCGAUCCCAAGACCCUGGGAUCAUGACCUGAGCCGAAGGCAGAGGCUUAACCCACUGAGCCACCCAGGCGCCCCGGGGGAGUCCGAUUUUUGAGCCAGCUUCCCGUUUUCUUGCUUGGCAGCUUUACAACAACCCUUUUUUCCUGCAAAAGCCUGGUGCUGUGGAGUGCGACUUCCCGUUGCACGCCAGCAAAUAAACUUUUCAGCCCGGUAACAAAUUCCGCGACCGUGAAGGGACUCUGAAUCCAACUGCGUUACCUUAGCCGGUGGCUCGUAUACCCCCAGUCGGGGGACUGGGUUCCGAACUCCCUCGGAUCGGCAGAGUUCAGCCUUCGCUGCUUUCUGGUUUUAACUUCCGGGAGAGAAACUUGUUUGGGGUUCGGAAGACAUCCUUUCGGUGAGUGAGAACGUACGGAUAACUGACUGCCGGUAAUUUUCUUCGUGUUCGACCUCAGCCGAGAGGCCCUGGUUAUAUAAUGCCUCACAGCCUUGAAUAAAAUUGGCACUGCUUGGACAUCAUCCACUUGGCCCCUCCUGCCCUCAUCUCUUUGCAUCUCGUCUUCGUCUCACCAUCCUCUUGCCCUCUCGACCCUGGUCGUGUUGUCGCACUGGCCGCGACAUCUGUUAAAGAUUACAUUAAGGACAAUCUAAAGAUUCUGUGUUUUCUCUUCAUCAGAUUUUUGAUUAUUCAAAAAAAACUGAGUCUUAAUAUUAAGAGUGAAGUUUUGCUCACAACUGUAUAUCAUCUGUAUUUACUUUGAAAUCUUCUAUGACCACCUUGGUUAAAUAGAUAAAUAUAGUUACCUAAUGACCUGUAAUCCAGUGACACAUUUCUGCCUUUUGAUAAAUUGAAUUUGAUCAAUGAAAUGUUCAAAUGAUAGAUGCUUUUUGACAUACUUCCCAGAAUCAAAUUCCAAAAGUCUUUUGACCACAGUCUAAAUGAAAUGUUCAGAAGGCCCUGGGAACAUUUCCAGAAUUCUUGGAGGGGAGCCUACCUAUCUCCGUGGGUAGAGCCUGAAACUGUUGAUCUAGGAAUUGUAAAUUCGAGCCCCACAUUGGGUGUAGAGAUUAUUUUAAAACAAAAUCUUAAAAAAAAAAAAAAUUGGUAAAAAUGAAACUAAUUUGGCUUACUUGCUAUGUUAAAUUACAUGGGAAGUACUCAAAUAAGUGACACUUAAACUCUCUUAGAUUGUUCGUAUAGAUAUGUUAUUAAAGUAAGUGUUCUCAAAAUUGUGUAAAACUCCUGGGGAUCUGAUAUGUCCGAACAUGUUACUAUCUUGAAAUGUUGUAUGUCUCGGAAAUAAGCAGAUUUUCUUACCAGUUGCAUUGUAAUGGACUCUAACCAAAUCUUUGACUAUGGCCAUUAAGUGUUUUCAUUUACAGAAAUGAAAUGUUUUCAUUUAAUUUACAAUUAACAGUUUCACUCAGAUGCUUUCAUAAAAGCUUUUUGCAAAUGUGCUUCUGUGAGACUCAUGGGAAGAACUCUGGGGUACAGGUUUCUUUAUAACCUUGAUGUCAUUAAACUGAAGUAAGAAUUUCCAGAACUACUCCGAAAAGAAGAAUUAAUAACAUAAGACUGAAUAAAACUAAGGAAGAUAAUUACAAUUUUAUCACAUUUUUGCUGAAAACAUUGCUGAUUUUUUUUUUUAAUGUUUUGUUUUUCCGGACUUAAAGCUAUUUUUCUCUUAAGUGGCGGCUUAGAGCCAUUUGAUAAAAUAUUCCUUUGUAAAAUAUUCCUUUGUAAACAAAUAUGAAACAUUUAUCUUUUUCUCCCUACCUGAACCCUCCAGAAUUCAGAAAUUCUCAGUGAGUAUUCUUUUAUGGCAAUUAAAGUUACUUGUAUAAGUGCAGUAAGAAUCUGUUUUCCUUAAAAACAUCAUUGGAAAGAAAAACACUGGGUUUUUUUUUUACCCAAGCUUUGCUGGAAUGUCAACAUUUGAGAGAGACAUGAAUGGUCUGCGGUAUGACCAGGCAGCUUUAAGGAACUGAGGUUGACUUCGUGGAGCCGGUAAAAAGCCCCUUGGAAAUACCAGCCUGGUACCUUCUUACAGAGUUCCAGCAGCCUCACCAGGGGGUAAAGAAGGUCACUUCCUGGCAGGUGCAGGAAGCUCAAUAUGUUGGGAACCUCAAGAAGAGAGGAGUUAACCCAAAUCUGUAGGUACUGCAGGCGAAGUAUGAUGGCAAGUAUCUGGCGUGGCUCCUGGCCUUGAGAGGCUAUUGAAAGUUCAACCUAGAGAUUCCUUACCGAAAAUUCCAGUAAAGCAGAUUUAAAAGAUUCUGCAUCGUCAACUGCUAUUCUUGCUGCAUUUAUGUCAGUAACCAAGCCAAGAUUUGCUCUCUCUUAGCUAGACUUUUUUGCAAGCCAAUUAGUCUUCAAUUGUUUUAUCUUUGGCAAAAUUGAGAGAGUGAUAGGGAGAAAAUAUGUUUCAGUAAAACACCUAUGUAAACACUGAAUUCUGAUACUGCUCAUUAUAUGCUGAACUAGAUGCUGAUUUCUUCUAGUUUCCUCCAGUGACUGGCUACACACGUCUCCAAACUUUUUUUUUUUUCUUCCACCUUCUGAGUUGUUGGACUCCUACAAGAAGUAAACCUGCCUUUUUUCCCCCCGAGGCCCUGCAGACUAAACAUCACCAGCCUGGUGCAAACUUUAGAGAAGCAACCAAAGCCACUCACACAUAGACGAUCGUCAUGCCUGGUGGCUUUGUGAGCUGUUCCAAAGAUCGCCAGAGACACUGCAGCGACAAAUCAGGACAGCCUGUCAGAUGGGCACUGCUUGCGCUCGCUCUGAAAAAUGCUUUGAGCCUGACAUCUGGAAAUCUUGACUGUCUGGCCUAGAAACUCACAAACUGGAUUACAACGUGAUGCAGUUACUAACCACCAUUUUUCUUAAAUUGCAUUGAUGGGCCUCUUCGCGAUCCCCCGAUUGUUUAAGCAACAGGCCUGACUUUUGACAACCUACCUGCUUCACCGCCUCCCAAAGGGAAAGUGAAUGACACGGACCCGUUAUCAGAACUGAGACCCAUUGGGUAAGACAAUCUACCAGCUCAGCUUUUAAUAUGCGAAACCCCCAGGGAAGUUUCAGAGGGGAAACUGUAAGGGCCAAGGGCAGGUUGCUCCAAAUUGUGCUAUUUUGUUAUAUUGAUCAUUUUAAAUAAAAGUUACUUAAGAGACAA